GGGUGCGAUCAUACCAGCGUUAAUGCACCGGAUCCCAUCAUAACUUCGUAGUUAAGCGCGCUUGGGCUAGAGUAGUACUGGGAUGGGUGACCUCCCGGGAAGUCCUAGUGUUGCACCCU
rnacentral:rRNA from 1 species